GAUGAACGCUGGCGGCGUGCCUAAUACAUGCAAGUCGAGCGAACGGACGAGAAGCUUGCUUCUCUGAUGUUAGCGGCGGACGGGUGAGUAACACGUGGAUAACCUACCUAUAAGACUGGGAUAACUUCGGGAAACCGUAGCUAAUACCGGAUAAUAUUUUGAACCGCAUGGUUCAAAAGUGAAAGACGGUCUUGCUGUCACUUAUAGAUGGAUCCGCGCUGCAUUAGCUAGUUGGUAAGGUAACGGCUUACCAAGGCAACGAUGCAUAGCCGACCUGAGAGGGUGAUCGGCCACACGGGAACUGAGACACGGUCCAGACUCCUACGGGAGGCAGCAGUAGGGAAUCUUCCGCAAUGGGCGAAAGCCGGACGGAGCAACGCCGCGGGAGUGAUGAAGGUCUUCGGAUCGUAAAACUCUGUUAUUAGGGAAGAACAAAUGUGUAAGUAACUAUGCACGUCUUGACGGUACCUAAUCAGAAAGCCACGGCUAACUACGUG
rnacentral:rRNA from 1 species